UAUGGUUUCUAUAUAAAGUAGUUUCUGCCCAAUGACUUAUUUAAAUGGCUGCAGUAUAUUGACUGUACAAAGGUAGCAUAGUAAUUAGUUUUUUAAUUGGAAACUUGAAUGAAAGGAUAAAUGAAAUAUUAUCUUUAUUAAUUUUAUUAUUAGAAUUUUAUUUUUUGGUUAAAAAGCUAAAUAGUUUUUUAGGGACGAUAAGACCCUAUAGAAUUUAAAAUAUUAAUUUAUUGAAUUAUUUUUAGGUUAAAUUUGUUCAUUUAAUUUAAAUUUUUAAUUGGGGUGAUUAAUAAAUUUCACUUUAUUUAUUUAAUUCAUUAAUAUAUGUUUAUUUGAUCCUUUAUUAAGAUUAUAAGAUAAAUUACCUUAGGGAUAACAGCGUAAUUUUGAUGGAAAGUUCAUAUUAAAAUUAAAGUUUGCGACCUCGAUGUUGAAUUAAGAUAAUUUUAUGGUGUAGAAGCUUUAAUUGUAAGUCUGUUCGACUUUUAUAAUCUUACA
rnacentral:rRNA from 1 species